CAGGCACUCUCAUGUCUAAUGGGCCAAUGUCCCCCAGCUCAGGGGUCAGCCCCAGGCAGCUGGAAGGAAGACUGCCCCCCCUUCCCCCCAGCUCUCUGAGCAGGCGCUGUUGUUAGGUCCACAGGAAGAAACUCUCUCCGUGUGGCCUGCUUCGUGUCAGCUACCUGAAUCUGUAUUCUGUCCACGGUGACCACUGUCACACCUGCCAGCAUGUUGUUGACCUGCCCUUGUGGACGGAUUUCCGUCUCUGUCUCUUCAAUCUCUCUGUGUCAUUAGGUGAUGCGCCGAGCACAUGGCUGCAGGAUCGAGGCGGGGUCUGUGUGUAAUCGGGGGGCGUCCUGCCCUCAGACACAGUUCAGGCUUACACGGUGGACCUGCUCCUGACCUUUCAUGGCCUCUGUUCACCAUUGGUCAGCAUCCUUGGCUUGCCCUUACUCGGGUGGAUAGCGUUCUCGUCAAUCUAAUCGUCUCUGAUGUGCUGGAAGUUAUACCACCUUGCACUUUAAUCCUAGUGGACACGAAUCUUAAAUUUAUACUGCAACAUUUAAAGAUAAUCAGUAUUUCUUCUUUCUCUAAAUAAAACAAGAACUUCAGCGUGUUUUUCCCCUGUAUCCCCAA